CACUUGAAGAAUGAGACCACGUAAUUAAAAGUGCAUGUGGAAGGACACAAAAUUUUCACUUCGAAAUCAAAAGGUGCAGAUGGGUGCUGGGUCUUUUUUGUCUUCGGUGUUAAAAGAUGACGAUAUCCAGCGACUAGCAAAGCGUUGGACUCAACUGUCGUAGAAUGGGAAUGAAGACGUUUACUGGAGAGGAUUAACGUUCCUAUAACUCUCAAAACAGUGCUGAACUUCGGUGUAUAGAGUGAGUGUAACUGCAUCCUACACAGCCACACUCAAGCCAGGUUGGCCACCUUCUUUUGUGCUUGCACGGGGGACUGUUGGUAAUUUCAAGAUGGAUUGAUCGUACACCACAGAUGAUAUCUUAGAGUUACCAGCCGAUAAGUUGACUUGACUACCUCAUGCACAAGUGACAGGCAGGAUGCGUUUUCAGUCAAGAAGAGGAGUUAGGACCUGGGUGAACAACGUUGACAAUCCCAUUUUGGAUUGAUCAGACACCGCGUAUGUCUUAAAGUUACCAGUCGAUACGUUAAUAUAUCUACCAUAUGUACCAGUGACAGGUUAGAUAUCGCUUAACACUUCUGAGAAUACCUUCUUUUAUAGCCGUACUGUUCAGCGAAAGCUAAAUAUUUUAGAGGAGUUGAAAAUUAGAACUUGAAAAUAAUAUUUUAUUAUCGUAGUGAAGACCGCGAAUGUUUCUAAGGAAAAAAUAAACAGAAGUGAGGAUGGAUAGGAUUAGGAGCUUUCUUAAGAGCUUUCUUGUUUCUCUCUCUUGGCAUAAAGUAUUUUGGUUCACAAGGCGAGACGAAAUGCGAUACAUGUUUUCAAGACAUACACGACUGUUUAUGAUGCAGAAAACCCGCGAAAUUCAAAAUCAAUGACAGUACAUAUGUUAAUUCUAUCGACUGUCAUUCUGUAAUGAUUCAAUUAACAUGUCUCUGUCGUUGUUUACGCACAGCUCGACUAUAUCUUUCUUACGUGAUUUUUUCAGUAAAUAAGUUGAUAAGUUUAUUUAGUGGCAGUUGUAAGCUUAGAGUUGAAAAUGAAACUAUUCGGAAUCUUUGUAGCAGUACAAAGAAGGAAAAUAGUGGCCAUUAUGUAAUUGUGUUUAUCUUUAAUUUUUCAUAGGUUUUGUAAAAUUACCGUCCUCUAUGACAUUCAUGUAAUUCGAAAUCUAGUUGCAAAACGGCACGCAAAGACAAUUGAGUUUUGUUAAGCCAAACGGCAGAGUAAAGCCUCACUGGAUAUUGUUAAUAUUACGGGAACACAACAAGUUCAUCGCUAUCAGAGGAAAAUAACACAAGAUUCGUAAAUGAAGGUUUCGUUUAGAUCACAACAUCUUCGGAA